rnacentral:rRNA from 1 species
GACAGAGGUGCCGAGCGUUAGGCGGAAUCACUGGGCUUAAAGCGUGUGUAGGCGGACCGUUAAGUACCUUGUGAAAUCCCACGGCUCAACCGUGGAACGGCUGGGUAUACUGGCGGUCUUGGGCAACCCAGGGGGCUGUCGGAACAAGCGGUGGAGCGGUGAAAUGCGUAGAUAUCGCUUGGAACGCCGGCGGUGAAAACGGACAG